rnacentral:rRNA from 1 species
CCCUUAGAUGUUCUGGGCUGCACGCGCGCUACACUGACACUAUCAACGAGUGCUCCUGGUUUGAAAGGAUCGGGUAAUCUUUUGAAAUGGCGUCGUGAUGGGGAUAGAUCAUUGCAAUUAUUGAUCUUGAACGAGGAAUUCCUAGUAAAUGUGAGUCAUCAGCUCACGUUGAUUACGUCCCUGCCCUUUGUACACACCGCCCGUCGCUCCUACCGAUUGAGUGAACCGAUGAGUAGUCCGGAUUGCGAUCGACCUCGGUUAAUCGCGAGAAGUUCCGCAAAUCACUUCACUUAGAGGAAGGAGAAGUCGUAACA